CUUUUCUUUCCUUCUCCUUCUCUAACCACUAUUGCUUGGCCUGUGUUCCUUCUAGCUGCCAUUUGCUCUUCCUUUGUAAAGGGCUCUUUGCUAACAAUAGCAUGAAGCUGCUUGCCAAGCAGAAUCAUCCGAAUGAGUGCUUUAUUCUUUCUUUGCUGAUAGCUGUCUUUUAUUUUCCCUUUGAAGAAUUCCCUACUUUUCUUUGAAUUAUCCAAAGGAACUUUCUGGAUGCUGCAGUGGAAACUUGCAGUUCUUCUGUAUUGUCAGCCAAAGCAGCAUGGACUCCAAAAGGGUUUCUGGACCUGCAUUUGUCCUAACAGAAAGGAUAAUGCUGCCAACUAAAACAGCAGUGUGGUGAAAGGGAGUUCCAGUAAAGGAGCAAACCCCAGCUUCCACCCAUGCAGAGAGAGAAGCUGAAUGGGACUCAUGAUGCUCCAGAUAGCCAGGUUUCACCCUCAAGAUGGAAACCCAGGCUGGCCAUUCUGUUGAACAGGCUUGAAGUUAGGCCGUGGAUCUAGGUUGCCUUUCUAGGCACAACCCAGUGUGGCCGCGAUAGCCGCUGCCUUCGCUUCCCAGGGCACUAGCAGGGUCCUCAUGCAUGGGAUCAAAUGACCACCCUGUUCGUUCCCUCCACCUGCGAAAUUUCCGAGGCUCCUUGAAAAGGGCCAUUGUUUCCCAGGAAUGUCAGGCCGGGCCGGGGAAGAAAGUCCUCAUGUCAGCAGGAAUGUGGAGCCUGCCCGCGAAGGCCUUGCCCUGGAUACGGGAACCGCCUGGACGUCGGGCCCAGCUUUGUGGCAACUGGGCCUCCUUUCUGGGUCCCUUUGGUGCCUCCUUGGUGAGGAAGAGGAAGGUUGAGUCCCAAGACGUGGCGCUAGGCAAGGAUGAACCCUGCAGACACGGCCUGCACCAUCCUCGCCUCUGUCCCAGGCCUGGUGGGAAGCAUCAGAUCCAGCAUCCCAGCAUCUCCAAGGCUUGACCCUGAUGCGGGACGUGCCCGUGUGAGAGACACAAUACCGAUGGAUAAUCUCAGUCCAUCUGUAACCGGCUCGGGCAAGGGGACGAGGGGCGAAGCCUUCAAAGGCUUCCCAACCUGUUUUUCAAAGGAAGGAGGAAUCUGACCUGAAUAUGAACUGAUGAUAAUAAGUACUGUGCUCAGUGAGCCGAAACUCUGGAAAUUUUAUUUUUUUUAUACAAAUACGUUUCUUCUCUGUUUUCAUUUCAGACCUCAUUUAAUCUCAAAGCAGUAAGAUUUUAUUGACAUUAAAUAUUCA